rnacentral:rRNA from 1 species
CCACCGCUUGCUUCAUUCCCUCUAGGUCUCUCCUCCUUCGAGAUACCCAAAAUAAAAGGAGAGGGGGCAGGAGAACACCAACACAAGAUUGAUGGAGAGGUGACGAGCAAAAGGUGUAGGCAAAAAGAAAGAAAGAGAGGCAACAGUAAGAGGUUUGCAGUUGCAAGGAGCAACAGUUGUUGACAGGUCUACACAUCAAGUCCAUACCGUUUUGAUGCACUUCGGUAGUCUAUAGGAACGUUGGUGUCCUAACUGGAAUCCUGUGAGGUUUUGCGAUUGUGGUGAGAGUAGUUGACAUGUUCAUGCUCCUGGCCAUCAUGCAAAUUUGUUACUAAUCAUAGGAGGAGAAUCUAGCUUGUUGGCACAUUUUGUGACAAAAUGGACGACGGACUAUACCUUCCGAUCCCCAGCCACCUUCUGUUUCCAUAUCCUGAGAUCUCCCACGGCUUCGAUGAUGAGUUCCUAGCGUGUACUCACACACACACCUGCAACGUUCCAUCAUGGCCGGCCGCGGCGCACUCCCACACGUGCCUGCACGCGCACACCCAAGUCAUAGCUUCCGGCGAAGAUCACGCGGAGCAUGACCAGCUGAGGAAUCUCCGGAAGCCUCUGGGGAACCGUGAGGCCGUGCGCAAGUACCGGCAGAAGAAGAAAGCCCACGCAGCCUUCCUCGAGGAGGAGGUCAAGAAGCUCCGCGCCGCCAACCAGCAGCUCCUGAGGCGGCUGCAGGGCCACGCGGCGCUGGAGGCCGAGGUGGCGAGGCUGACGGGCCUCCUGCUCGAUGUCCGAGGCAAGAUCGAUGGGGCUGAGAUCGGCGGCCGGCCGUUCCAGGAGCGGUGCAGCUUCGGCUCUGUCGUCGGCACUGCUGCAGAACCGACAGCACCAUGCUUUGAUUCUGGCAGUGCUGAGGUACCAGCGGCCUGGGAGACUUGCGAGAUCGAUGGCGGUGGCAUCGUUUCGGGAGAACUUGGUGUUCCUGAAGUGGUGGAUGCUGUUGCCAGCUUCGUGAACUCUCCUGCAUAAUUGGAUGAAGUUCUUUGUACCCAAAUACAGUAUCAGAUAGAAAAUGGCUUCCUUUCAUAUAGCCUACUUGAAUAAAUGGUGGCUGGGAACAGAAGUGUGGAAGUGAGACACCCUAUCAAGGUCUUGCUGAUUAUACUUCUGUUCUGAAGUGUUCGGUUUGUAAUGUACUUGUUGUGUUUGUAUUGGAUGGAGCUACUAGUAAGUUGACCCAGCAUGAUCUGUGCUUUCCAAAGUGCCCUUAGGUUGGUCUUCUCUGGAAUAAUUAACCACUGUUUAAAAAUUCAGUUGUGUUCUGUAAUGGGAUAAUGAUCUGUUUACUGUGUUAUCUUCAGUUAAAUGCA